rnacentral:misc_RNA from 1 species
UACAGUACAUGCGCGCCGCUAGCUAGAGCUGAGUUAUCGCAGGAAACAAUUCUAGAGCUGGGCUUUGAAUGCAUUAUCAGAGACCUGAAAUGAGCUGCAUUGACUUUAUUUCGAUGAUGGAACUGAGAGAAGGAGAAAACAGCUUUAGUUACUUCAUCUCCAGAUGUCAUAUUGAAUAGCCUGCAGUUACUGUCCAUUUACAACUUCAUGGGUAAGCACAGAAAAGAAGCAAGAAGGGCAUAUUUGAAAAGAAGAAGAUCAGCAAUGAGAGAAACAAAAUUAGCUGGGAAUGAUUUGGAUGAUACCCAAAUGAGUCACAUGAAAAUUGAUAGCCCAGCUAAUGAAGAUAACAGCCAUUGCAUCCAAACCAAAAUGACUGAAAAACACACCCCUUUAUUCUGUACGCCGCCAAAGUCAAAGUCAUCAUCAGCACUGCUACCAUCAUCGUCAAAGUCAUCAUCAGCACUGCUACCAUCAUCAAAUAUGUCAAAUUCAUCAGCACUGCUGCCAUCAUCAAAUACGUCGAAUUCAUCAGCACUGCUACCAUCGUCGUCAAAUACGUUGAAGUCAUCAGCGCUGCUACCAUCAUCGUCAAAUACAUCUAAGUCAUCAGCACUGCUAGCAUCGUCGUCAAAUACGUCAAAGUCAUCAGCACUGCUACCAUCAUUGUCAAAUACAUCUACAUGUAAGUCAUCAGCACUGCUAUCAUCAUCAUCAAUGUCAUCAUCUUCAACAGUUGCACUUUUAAGAAGAAGUAUUCCAAGGAAAGUGCUAAAUGACUGUCUUUUCACAAAGUGGAAUGAGUACAGACUGUUAUAUAAACAGUUUACUCUAAUCAAAAGACGCCUAAAUGUUAUAGAGCAUGGAGAG